AAACUGAAGAGUUUGAUCAUGGCUCAGAUUGAACGCUGGCGGCAUGCCUAACACAUGCAAGUCGAACGAUGAUUUUCAGCUUGCUGAAAUGAUUAGUGGCGGACGGGUGAGUAAUGUAUAGGGAUCU
rnacentral:rRNA from 1 species